GGUUAAGCGACUAAGCGUACACGGUGGAUGCCCUGGCAGUCAGAGGCGAUGAAGGACGUGCUAAUCUGCGAUAAGCGCCGGUAAGGUGAUAUGAACCGUUAUAACCGGCGAUUUCCGAAUGGGGAAACCCAGUGUGAUUCGUCACACUAUCAUUAACUGAAUCCAUAGGUUAAUGAGGCGAACCGGGGGAACUGAAACAUCUAAGUACCCCGAGGAAAAGAAAUCAACCGAGAUUCCCCCAGUAGCGGCGAGCGAACGGGGAGGAGCCCAGAGCCUGAAUCAGCAUGUGUGUUAGUGGAAGCGUCUGGAAAGGCGCGCGAUACAGGGUGACAGCCCCGUACACAAAAGCGCAUGUGCUGUGAGCUCGAUGAGUAGGGCGGGACACGUGGUAUCCUGUCUGAAUAUGGGGGGACCAUCCUCCAAGGCUAAAUACUCCUGACUGACCGAUAGUGAACCAGUACCGUGAGGGAAAGGCGAAAAGAACCCCGGCGAGGGGAGUGAAAAAGAACCUGAAACCGUGUACGUACAAGCAGUGGGAGCACAGGUUUACCUGUGUGACUGCGUACCUUUUGUAUAAUGGGUCAGCGACUUAUAUUCUGUAGCAAGGUUAACCGUAUAGGGGAGCCGGAGGGAAACCGAGUCUUAAUUGGGCGUUAAGUUGCAGGGUAUAGACCCGAAACCCGGUGAUCUAGCCAUGGGCAGGUUGAAGGUUGGGUAACACUAACUGGAGGACCGAACCGACUAAUGUUGAAAAAUUAGCGGAUGACCUGUGGCUGGGGGUGAAAGGCCAAUCAAACCGGGAGAUAGCUGGUUCUCCCCGAAAGCUAUUUAGGUAGCGCCUCGUGAAUUCAUCUCCGGGGGUAGAGCACUGUUUCGGCUAGGGGGCCAUCCCGGCUUACCAACCCGAUGCAAACUGCGAAUACCGGAGAAUGUUAUCACGGGAGACACACGGCGGGUGCUAACGUCCGUCGUGAAGAGGGAAACAACCCAGACCGCCAGCUAAGGUCCCAAAGUCAUGGUUAAGUGGGAAACGAUGUGGGAAGGCCCAGACAGCCAGGAUGUUGGCUUAGAAGCAGCCAUCAUUUAAAGAAAGCGUAAUAGCUCACUGGUCGAGUCGGCCUGCGCGGAAGAUGUAACGGGGCUAAACCAUGCACCGAAGCUGCGGCAGCGAACGUAUCACCCAAGACAACUUUACGGAGUUGACGAUUGACGGAGCGAAGCGACGUCAAAGCGUUCAUUAAAGUCGAGUUGGCUUAGGGAUACGUUCGUUGGGUAGGGGAGCGUUCUGUAAGCCUGUGAAGGUGUGUCGUGAGGCAUGCUGGAGGUAUCAGAAGUGCGAAUGCUGACAUAAGUAACGAUAAAGCGGGUGAAAAGCCCGCUCGCCGGAAGACCAAGGGUUCCUGUCCAACGUUAAUCGGGGCAGGGUGAGUCGACCCCUAAGGC
rnacentral:rRNA from 1 species